AGAUUGAACGCUGGCGGCAUGCCUAACACAUGCAAGUCGAACGGGAGUAGCAAUACUCUAGUGGCGGACGGGUGAGGAAUACGUAGGAAUUUGCCCUUAAGUGGGGGAUAACCCGGGGAACCCGGAUUAAUACCGCAUGACCUCGAAAGAGCAAAGUGGGGGAUCGCAAGACCUCACGCUUUUGGAGAAGCCUACGUCGGAUUAGCUAGUUGGUGAGGUAAUGGCUCACCAAGGCGACGAUCCGUAACUGGUCUGAGAGGAUGAUCAGUCACACCGGAACUG
rnacentral:rRNA from 1 species